rnacentral:rRNA from 1 species
UACUCCUACGGGAGGCAGCAGUGGGGAAUAUUGGACAAUGGGGGGAACCCUGAUCCAGCCAUGCCGCGUGUGUGAAGAAGGCCUUAUGGUUGUAAAGCACUUUAAGCGAGGAGGAGGCUACUGAGACUAAUACUCUUGGAUAGUGGACGUUACUCGCAGAAUAAGCACAGGCUAACUCUGUGCCAGCAGCCGCGGUAAUACAGAGGGUGCGAGCGUUAAUCGGAUUUACUGGGCGUAAAGCGUGCGUAGGCGGCUUUUUAAGUCGGAUGUGAAAUCCCCGAGCUUAACUUGGGAAUUGCAUUCGAUACUGGGAAGCUAGAGUAUGGGAGAGGAUGGUAGAAUUCCAGGUGUAGCGGUGAAAUGCGUAGAGAUCUGGAGGAAUACCGAUGGCGAAGGCAGCCAUCUGGCCUAAUACUGACGCUGAGGUACGAAAGCAUGGGGAGCAAACAGGAUUAGAUACCCUGGUAGUCCAUGCCGUAAACGAUGUCUACUAGCCGUUGGGGCCUUUGAGGCUUUAGUGGCGCAGCUAACGCGAUAAGUAGACCGCCUGGGGAGUACGGUCGCAAGACUAAAACUCAAAUGAAUUGACGGGGGCCCCCACAAGCGGUGGAGCAUGUGGA